ACCGGCGGCUCGAGUGGUGGCCACUAUUAAUGGGCUUAAAGCGUUCGUAGCUGGCUUGUUAAGUCUCUGGGGAAAUCUUCCGGCUCAACCGGAAGGCGUCUCAGGGAUACUGGCAGGUUAAGGACCGGAAGAGGUGAGAGGUACUCCAGGGGUAGGAGUGAAAUCCUGUAAUCCUUGGGGGACCACCUGUGGCGAAGGCGUCCAACCAGGACGGCUCCGACAGUGAGGGACGAAACCUAGUGGAGCAAACCG
rnacentral:rRNA from 1 species